rnacentral:lncRNA from 1 species
CUUUUCUCCCUUGCUCUUCCAGCAGCACAAUGUGAGCCACCGGCAAGGAGGGACACCAAUAAGGCGUCUGAUAAGAUAAGUCUUAUAAAAUAUAUAGAUUUAUGAUAAUUAAGACUGAGUUAGCAGAUGAGAAUCCUAGUCAUUGGCCAAGCAGCUUUGAACCUACUACAAAUUUCUGUGUAUUCAUUUAGGCCUAACUCAGGCGGGCAGCUGGCAUAAAGCGCACAUGUGGUGGUGGGGCUCAGCGGCUUUUGGUGGAAAGAUUUAUUGCAACAUUGAAUCUUUAAUACCAACAGAAAAAAUGGCAACAUUAAUGGAGAAGAACAGGAAGACACCAGACAUCUUUCUCAUUUCUGUAUAUGUGAAUGCAGCCACGGUUGAGCAGAUCUCUGGGGAUGCUUCCAUAUCCGAUCCAUAGCGAAGUAAGGCUUGUUGCUCAGGGGCUCCAGGAAGAAGAAGGUUCUUGACCAGGGAUGAGAGCAGUUCAGGACUAUGGGCCCAAAGAAGUAUUUUGAAGGCAGUGUGACAGCAUUACCAUCCAGCAAAGGGACAGGAGCAGGUUCUCCAAUAAGGCCUCUGACUGCCCAGCCAUGGGCUUUUCACUGUACCAGCAACCCAGGAAGAAAUCAUUCCUCUGCCAGUUUCUACUCUACUGAAGCUCUUCUCAGCCAAUCAGGAUGUUCAGAAGGGGAACAAAGCAGUCUGGACACAUCAGCUGCUGUGCAUGUGUGAAAUGAAGCUGAUUGGGCUGAGGCCUGCAUGCCUGCCCCGUUUUAUCUUUGGAACACAUUCCUCAUCCUAGGAAGAAUUAAUGUCUGCUAUCAAGGGCUUACUGUCAGCAUCUCUGUUGUCCCUUUGAAUGUACUGUUGACUGGGAUCAGCCUGCAAGAUUGAUCUCAAGCAAGUGAAAUUGGGUUGAAAAUAAUUCUAAUCUUAGCCAUGAAGGAUGGCCGUGUUGAGGCUGGAUGCAGAUUUUCCUGGGGGAAUGAAGGUUUGUGAAUCAUGCAGGGGGCUGUUACAUCACUAUCCACUGUAAAACCGCAUCAGUCAUGUGUGUCCUAAAUCAGAAAGAAUGGCUCAGGACAGAGAUGAAAGGUAACAUGAGGUCCGAGGAGAAGGCUCAGUGGGCCAAGUGCUGCCCCGAAGGUUGAGGACCUGAGUGUGGAUAUUUGGAAACUAGAUAAAACCAGAUGCUUAGUCCCAGCACUCCUAUGGUGAGAUACUGGAGUGGAUACUGGAGAGUCUCCAGCUAGUCAGUAGCAUACAGUAGUGAACACAAGUGCCUUGUCUCAAAAGAAGUGGAAGAUGAGGACUAACAUAUGAGGUUUCCCACUGACCUACACACACACACACACACACACACACACACACACACACUUUAAAAAUGAAAUAAAAUUACAUAUCUAUCCGUUAUAAGUGUAUGUG